rnacentral:lncRNA from 1 species
CCGUAUCUAUUGUUGACGAGCUACAAAACCUGCUCAAUCUUUCCCUCAAAAAACCUGCCGAAUUAAUGGCCAUUGAAAAACAAAGACAUAUCCGUAAUCCUAGGAAAACAAAUAUGUUUCCUCUAAUCUCACCUUCAUCGCAGCAAAAUCCUCUCCCUCUCCACUCGUUUAUCAGAAAAUUAGAGCCGUUAAUCUGGUGGGACCGAGUUAUAACAACCAGAUUUAAUCUAGGAGCCAACUAGGAAGCCGCGCCGCACCCACGUAUUCCCGUGCGGCGGCUGCUAUAUGC